UACAGAGGUGGCAAGCGUUGUUCGGAAUUACUGGGCGUAAAGGGCGCGUAGGCGGCCUACUAAGUCAGACGUGAAAUCCCUCGGCUUAACCGGGGAACUGCGCCUGAUACUGGAUGGCUUGAAUUCGGGAGAGGGAUGUGGAAUUCCAGGUGUAGCGGUGAAAUGCGUAGAUAUCUGGAGGAACACCGGUGGCGAAGGCGGCAUCCUGGACCGAUAUUGACGCUGAUGCGCGAAAGCCAGGGGAGCAAACGGG
rnacentral:rRNA from 1 species